UACGGAGGGUGCAAACGUUGCUCGGAAUCAUUGGGCGUAAAGCGCACGUAGGCGGUUCGGUAAGUCGGGUGUGAAAGCCCUCGGCUCAACUGAGGAAGUGCAUUCGAAACUACCGGACUUGAGUAUGGAAGAGGGUCGCGGAAUUCCCGGUGUAGAGGUGAAAUUCGUAGAUAUCGGGAGGAACACCAGUGGCGAAGGCGGCGACCUGGGCCAAUAUUGACGCUGAGGUGCGAAAGCGUGGGGAGCAAACAGG
rnacentral:rRNA from 1 species